rnacentral:lncRNA from 1 species
CAGCCCAUGGGCAAGUUAAGAGACAGGAGUAGUGUCUGUGGAGUGGAGGAAAGCAGAGGCUGCCGCUGACCAUCCUGCAGCCCUCGCUCUGGCUGCUCACAGCUCUCCACCUUCUCUGGACUUCGUCACUUCAGUAUGUGAAACAACCAUUUCAACCAGCUUGGACAAAAGAGAGAAGCCAAGAUGGGGCUGAGAAACCAAUGCAGGCAGGCCCAGGGACCCAGGAGUCAGGGACCAGGUGCUACCAGAUGCUUGCUCCGACUCGUGUUGCUGCUGUCUUCUCUGUGCCUCAACUCUGUCCUCUGUCACUGCAGGCAGCUUCCUCCCAAGGUGAUGGAGACCAUGCCAUUGCUAGUCUACCUUGAAAGACAGAUGUGAAGAAUGAAGUCAGGGGCUUUGCAGGAAGGUGAUAUAUCCCACCUCAUGAAAUCAGGCUUCACCACAAGAUUGCUUUGACCAAGGGGACGUGAGUAGAAGUUUGAAGAACCACAGACUGGUCCAUCACCUUGUUUCUUAUCCCUCUGACAUAAGCAAUGUCCCAGACUGGGGCUGUUCUGUUAGCCUGGCUUCCAGAAUGAAGAGAGCUGAUCUACAUGGCAUAUGUAAGAUAAAUAAACCUUUGUUAUUACAAACCA